AAGAGUUCUAGAGCGAACACUCGUGUCUCUUGACCACCAGUUCAUACUCUUUUUCCUCCCCAAAUUAGCUUGGCUUGUUAUGUUCAAAUGCACUAAAAUCUUCCUGAGGUGGGUUGGCCAGAGUUGUUCGGCAGCAGGCAAAGCCAACAUCUACGAGGCUCCAACACUGAGGAUCUCUCUGCCUGUCAGAAUCCGGGCAGCAUUUACUGCAUUUAGGACGAAGAUGGUAUGUCAGCUUGACAACCAAGAUUCGCCAUCGCAGCAGGUACAGAGUCAUCUGCCUCUGGGAUCGCCCUCAAGAUGGUGUCAAAUGCUGCUUCUGAAAUGGAGUCUCCCAAAGCAAGACAGCUGAACCAGGUGGCUUCCCUAAAGCGACAAGAGCUAACUUCCAACAACUUCUCACCAGCAACUUCUCCGGCCCACCUUACAGAACCGAAAGACAAUGACGAAGCAGACUAUGUCUUACCCAGGACUGCUUCAUGAUGCAUAGCUCUUGCCCCUGUCCUUGUUCUUCCUCCAUUUAAACCUGAACACCCCAGAGGCAGACCUUCUUGUUUGCUUCUCUUUCCCACGGGGCUGCAUUAAUAAAUCUCCAUGCU
ensembl:lncRNA LOC108350764 uncharacterized LOC108350764